rnacentral:lncRNA from 1 species
CACGUAUGAGCCAAAGAAAUAAGGACAUGUGGUACACCAGGAGUCGGCAAUAAGGCGCCUGAAGGUUGAGAGCCUUUUGGCGGGAACGGUUGAGAAGUGGGCGUAACUUUCACGAUCAUGAUUACACCACUCCCCGUAUUACUAAAAAAUCGACCAAUAAUGUGGGCUGAUAUCACUAUAAAUUAAAUAGUAAUUUCGAAGCCUAUAAUAGGGAUCUUUCUCUCCCAUGAACGAGAAGACCACUGCAUUUUCAAUAUUUCUACUUUCUGCAUUUAUCGUUUUUCUAGUAGUUUUACUUGUAAUCUUUUCUUUUCCCGCAUUUACUGUCUUUCUUAGGAGUAGUCUUUAAUUUACUGUCUUUUUUUUCCCGCAUUUACUGUCUUUCUUAGGAGUAGUCUUUAAUUUAGAUUUUCAGAGUCUGUAUGUCUUACGGGCACACUCUUGUUUGUAUGACCUUCUUAUUCCAAUCUAAUAUAUAAAGGUAUUCGGCUCUUCGGCCGACCCAAAACACUGUAGAUUCCGUACAUUCGGCUCUGUCAGCCGAACCGAAUCUACAGUAAAAGUCUUCAAACUCGGCUGAUCCGAUCCCUCAUAAGCUGAAUCGCUUGAUCCAGUCGAAGGGCGCAAACUUCGAGGGUCACUGUUCAUAGCCGUUCCGCAUCCCUACAC